AGCUGACCCCUGACCCCCAGCUGCCCCUACUUCCUGCCCCCUCGCUGCGUCCCUUCCUGGACUCUGAUUGGUCGUCGUGAUGCUCUAGCGGUCUGGUGGUAGAAACCUCUCCAUCACUGGAGGAAGAACCUCCUCUAAGGUUCAGCCAAACGUCCAGCAGCUGGUUCUGACACCAGCUCUGAGAUCCCUGAGGGACAGAAACAUCUUCUGGCCCCGACCCCUGACCCCAAGAGCUGAAUGAUGAAGAGGCUUCUCGUUGGAGGAUUGAUCAUCAUUC